GGCGAGAUGGCCGAGCGGUCUAAGGCGCUAGAAUCAGGAUCUUGAAAUCCAGUAUCUAGUCCUCCGGGGCGUGGGUUCGAAUCCCACUCUCGUCA